rnacentral:tRNA from 1 species
GCCGGAGUGGUGAAAUGGUAGACACGUUAGACUCAAAAUCUAAUGGAGGUAACUCCGUGCGGGUUCAAGUCCCGCCUUCGGUACCA